rnacentral:rRNA from 1 species
CCUACGGGGGUCAGCAGUGGGGAAUAUUGCACAAUGGGGGGAACCCUGAUGCAGCAAUGCCGCGUGAAGGAUGAAGGUUUUCGGAUUGUAAACUUCUUUUGUACGGGACGAAGAAAGUGACGGUACCGUAAGAAUAAGCCACGGCUAACUACGUGCCAGCAGCCGCGGUAAUACGUAGGUGGCAAGCGUUAUCCGGAUUUACUGGGUGUAAAGGGCGAGUAGGCGGGAUUGCAAGUCAGAUGUGAAAACUAUGGGCUCAACCGAUAGAGUGCAUUUGAAACUGCAGUUCUUGAGUGAUGGAGAGGCAGGCGGAAUUCCCGGUGUAGCGGUGAAAUGCAUAGAUAUCGCGCAGAACUCCGAUUGCGAAGGCAGCGUACCGGCGCCGGACUGACGCUGAGGCACGAAAGCGUGGGUAUCGAACAGGAUUAGAUACCCCAGUAGUC